rnacentral:rRNA from 1 species
UACGGGAGGCAGCAGUGGGGAAUAUUGCACAAUGGGCGCAAGCCUGAUGCAGCCAUGCCGCGUGUAUGAAAAAGGCCUUCGGGUUGUAAAGUACUUUCAGUCGUGAGGAAGGUGUUAAGGUUAAUAACCUUAGCAAUUGACGUUAGCGACAGAAGAAGCACCGGCUAACUCCGUGCCAGCAGCCGCGGUAAUACGGAGGGUGCGAGCGUUAAUCGGAAUUACUGGGCGUAAAGGGCACGCAGGCGGUUAAUUAAGUUGGAUGUGAAAUCCCCGGGCUUAACCUGGGAAUGGCAUUCAAGACUGGUUAGCUAGAGUCUUGUAGAGGGGGUAGAAUUCCGAUGUGUAGCGGUGAAAUGCGUAGAGAUGUGGAGGAAUACCGGUGGCGAAGGCGGCCCCUGGACAAAGGCUGACGCUCAUGUGCGAAAGCGUGGGGAGCAAACAGGGAUUAGAUACC